rnacentral:lncRNA from 1 species
UCACAGGUCCUGAUGGAAGUCCUGAGGAUUGUGAGUUUGCUUUCCCAUCAAUAUGUGGAAACACGAUAUGGUCCCUUUUUGGAGUCCCAAUUUUAGGAAUGAUCUUGUGGUCCCUGGGCAGAGGUAGGUUUUGGUAAUUCUUUGAACAGAUAUUAAGUACAUGAAUGGUUCAUGAUUCCUGAAGUUGCAGAUGAAACUUACAUACAGUAUAUCAAGAUACGUCUGGGCAAAAGAUCAUUCCAAGCCCUUUUCUGGAUGUUUUUGUCAUAAUGGGAGGGCUCAAAAGAAAUACAUCUUAGAAAAGUCAACAAGAAAACACAAAACAUGAGAUGCCCAAUACUUCUGUCCUCAAGUAUUAUUUAAUCAAAGCACUCAAAAUCAAGACAAUAGGAUCAAGGAAACCUUGGUAAGCAUCUGCGGUGAUAUGCCCUUGGACAGCGUCUACAAAUUGCAAAUUGCAACUCAUAUUCCUUUUUAUCCUCCCCUUGCUUGCAGAC